UACGUAGGUGGCAAGCGUUGUCCGGAUUUACUGGGUGUAAAGGGCGUGUAGCCGGGCUGACAAGUCAGAUGCGAAAUCCGGGGGCUCAACCCCCGAACUGCAUUUGAAACUGUUGGUCUUGAGUAUCGGAGAGGCAGGCGGAAUUCCUAGUGUAGCGGUGAAAUGCGUGGAUAUUAGGAGGAACACCAGUGGCGAAGGCGGCCUGCUGGACGACAACUGACGGUGAGGCGCGAAAGCGUGGGGAGCAAACAGG
rnacentral:rRNA from 1 species